ACACUAAAUCAAUCGAUGACAGCGACUGAUUUUCGCAGUGUUCUCGGGUGACGACAUUUUGUCAAUAAUUUCUAAAGUUGUUGGGAUUGUAGUAUAUUUCUUUAGUAUUUAGUGUGUUUUUAAGCCACGAAAAUGGCUGAUAAUGAACAGAAAGCAAUGCAGUUGAUGGCGGAGGCGGAGAAAAAGUUGGGUUCAUCUAAGACCUUUCUCGGGUCACUUUUUGGGGGCUCAUCAAAGGUGGAAGAAGCUGUAGACUGCUACCUCCGGGCCGGCAACCUGUUCAAGAUGGCGAAGAAGUGGGCGCAGGCUGGCCAGGCAUUCUGCAAUGCGGCGCAGUUGCACUUGAAGGCUGGCGUCCGCCAUGAUGCUGCCACCAACUUUGUUGACGCUUCCAACUGCUACAAGAAGUGUGAUGCUAAUGAGGCAGUCUCAUGUCUGUUAAAGGCAAUUGAGAUCUACACUGACAUGGGCCGUUUCACUGUUGCAGCAAAGCAGCAUCAGAACAUAGCCGAGCUGUACGAGACCGAGUGCGUGGACCUCGCGCGCGCCAUGCAGCACUACGAGCAGGCGGCGGACUACUUCCGCGGCGAGGAGUCCACCUCCUCCGCCAACAAGUGCAUGCUCAAGCUGGCCCAGUACGCGGCGCAGCUCGAGCACUACGACAAGGCCGUGCAGAUAUACGAGCAGAUCGCCAAGUCGUCCCUGGACAACAGUCUGCUGAAGUACAGCGCCAAGGAGUACAUGUUCCGCGCCGCACUGUGCCACCUGUGCGUCGACGUGCUCAACGCGUCGCACGCCAUCGAGAAGUACUGCGCGCUCUACCCCGCCUUCGCCGACACUAGGGAGUGCAAGCUUAUCAAGGUGAGCCUGGUGUCCCUUACAGUGGACAUGUCUAUUAUAUAACAGAAGUACAGCCAAGGAGUACAUGUUCCGCGCCGCACUGUGCCACCUGUGCGUCGACGUGCUCAACGCGUCGCACGCCAUCGAGAAGUACUGCGCGCUCUACCCCGCCUUCGCCGACACUAGGGAGUGCAAGCUUAUCAAGGUGAGCCUGGUGUCCCUUACAGUGGACAUGUCUAUUAUAUAACAGAAGUACAGCCAAGGAGUACAUGUUCCGCGCCGCACUGUGCCACCUGUGCGUCGACGUGCUCAACGCGUCGCACGCCAUCGAGAAGUACUGCGCGCUCUACCCCGCCUUCGCCGACACUAGGGAGUGCAAGCUUAUCAAGGAACUGAUCGAGCACCUGGAAGACCAGAACAUCGACGGGUUCACCGAGGCGGUGAAGAACUACGACAGCAUAUCGCGACUCGACCAGUGGUACACGACCAUGCUCGUGCGCGUCAAGAAACAGAUCAACGACAACCCCGACCUGCGUUGAAUCCGCACCACCCUCGCCGCACAUGUUAGGUUUGUGUGCUGUAGCUAGGUAGAUUUGUGAGCGUUUCCACCUUUUUUCUAACACUAUAAUAGGCAAAUAAUCAAAGUACCUUCUUCUUUCUCCGUGCCUCUUCCCCUUUCAAUCGGGGUCGGCCCUCUGAAUAUGCUUCCGACAUUUUGCUCUGUCAUAGUAGGUUGCUGGUAUUUUUAGCGACAGUUUCUCCGGGUUUCUCCACCAGGUGGCUUUUGGACGUCCUGACGGUUGAUGGAAAGUACCAUAUGUAAAAAACGAACUAACUGUAUGAGCUAUCUUGCUAUUUGUCGCUGCGCUGUGUAAAGCGUUGGGUAGCGUUUACUACGUCAUCUGCCGACAGUGUCCGCGCUAGGCUCUAAACUCUCUAAAGCAAGGCGCUGUCAACUGUCAAUGGCACGAAACGAUAUAGUGUAAAUGCGCCCCAAACCUGGGAUUAACUUAUAUUUAAACCACGUCGCCUUAAAAUAGAGUAGUGCAAUGUUUUUACCGCUUAUCCAUGUAUAUCCGCAGCGGAGAGUAUUCAUUUGAUUAGCAUUAUUUAACUAACACGGUGGAAAUGCUUGUGAGUUUAUUUAAUCAACAUCUAUCUAAUACUGAUCAGUAUAAUAAUAUUUAUGUGUACUCUAGUGUAACACAACGUUUUACGCUAGAUAUUUUUUUUUACAUUAAUAUUUAGGGAUCGGUGUUAGGUAGAGUUGCAAUGUUACAGUCUGUUUCGAUGUAAAAGCCUUAUUGAACUGCGCGGUAUUUAGACUCGUAUGAUGUCUUCUGAGUAUUAACUACUGAAACAAACUAGUGUGAAUUAAAUGACGUAUAUUACUAAAUACCGCAUAGUAUUUAAAAGCUAGGCACACAUUUAAAAUUCAAAACAUACAAAACAAUAACACUAAGCGCUUAAAAUUUCAUCAAGUACUUACGUCAAUGUGUUUGUUUUGAAUUUUUAAUUUGUUUAUACAUAAAAGCUGUGGUUUAUUAUAAAUUAUGCGAUCGUAAUUUUAAUUAGGAAAAGGAAUUUGUGGUAAAGUAAUCGGAAUGGAAAUCUAAGAUAUCAUGUGAAAGUAUAACGGAAUUGUAAUAACGUUUUGAAAUUGAUUGGUUAGAUCAAUGUGUGACCAAAAGUGGUACAUAUAAUAGUAGCCUGAAUAUUUAAAUCGCAGUAUAUUGUAAGUCUGUGUUUGGACAAACUUCAAACUUUCCCAUACUUAGUUAUGAUACUAUUGUAGGCCGUGCUUUCAAUCCUUUUAUAAGAGCACACAUCGAAGCGGCGACGCGGCUUGACAUGUUAAUGUAGAACAUCAGUGCUAUUCCAUAAUUUAUCUAAUCUCUACGUUACACUACGCCCCAUUACGCUUUUAAUGUACGUGUCCUUUAAAAAGGACAGGAUUUAUACAUGUCAUUUGUAAAUGAUAAGAAUUAACUCGAGUCCAUAUUUCAAUCAGUAUGCUUGUAAUAGGAAGCUGGAAGCAUCAUUUUUAGGACUAGAGGCUAUUUGAUAAGAUCGAUUGUAGUCAACGUUCCUUUUAGUUUACGAAUAGUAAUAUACUAACUGUUACUUAGCAAGUUUACCGACACUUUGCUACUGUCUGUAAAACAUCGCUAGAUGAGUUUAUCAGUGUCUACCGACCGUAGCAAUAAUAGUCUAAAGUCACUUGACGAAAUACGUCUAGUUUUUUUAACUACAAAAAACCCGCUAAUGACGUUCGAUAUCGUACAUAGGUUAGUAUACAUACUUUGUGUAUGCGAAAUAGAUGUCCUAUUUAAAGGACUUGGCAUUUACAGUCACUUUUACGAUAGAUUUGUAAGACGCAAUAUUUAAGAUUUAUACUUAGAGAGUGUAUAAUAUGUAUGUACCUAUUAUCAUAAAUAGUUCACGUUUCAUCAUAAUAAAUUAAACUAUUGAAGUAUAUUGUUUUUCUCACUUCAGUCAUACAACUCGAUCUAAUAAGGUUAACCUUUUGUGGCUGCAGUGUGGGAACAGCCUUACAUAAUGGUUAAUGAAUUUCUGAAAUUCACUCAAUCAGUAUUUCACAUUCAAUAUUGGAUAUAAUUACAUACAUGUCGGGAUGUUUAUUAGCUGGCGAUAAAAAUAUAUAAAAAAAUGGAGGUGUUUAAGGGUUUGGUUUAGACUGGUCUUGAAAAGAAUACAUUUAAACAAAACUUGAAUUUAUUGGAAAACUCUAUGGUGGAUCUUACGAUGUUAAAAUAAUAAUUCGGUACAUACACGGCGGGGUGGAGUUGAUCACUCGAGAUAUAAAAUUGAAGAAAUUUGAACUUAAAAUAAAAUUACAUGAGGUUCAAAUUUCUUCAAUUUUAUAUCUCGAGUAAAGUUUGUCGCCGUGUACAGAAUUAUGGUAUUUGGAAUUCUUUAGAUUGGUUCUUGAGCGAGUGAUUUUCUAUUAGUUUCAUGUUUUUGGUCAAUAGUGUAAUGUAGAGCUUGGUAUUAGUGUUUGCUGAUCUAGGUAUAAUUAAUAGAAUGUAAGCAGGGAAGAAUUUUUAAAUCAUCAUAUUAUGACACAUUUAACUUUCCAUUAUCCAGAGAUUGGGUGUCGGUAGCUAUAUUAUAAAGUUGUAUGUAAUUAAAUGCAAUCAGUCACCGACUUGCAAACGUAACGGACUUGCAAAGACAGGUCCAUGUGACUUUGACUUAAAUAUGCUAAUAAUGUCCGAGAAGGGCAUUGGUUCAUAUUAGAUAGAGAAAAGUUAUAUCUAUCGACACCUCUACUCUGUAUCUUUAGGUAUUUAAAUAAAAGUAAACAAAUAAUUCGUACAUUUCCGGGUAGUUAUAACAUUUAUUGGUUAUCCAACCAAAUACAAAACCGUCUGGAUCUGUCACUGAACGACCUGACUAACCUACAUUAUUUAAUCGUGUAAUGUUUUCACCUACCCUCUACUGGCUUAAGGAGCCAUUUGAGAGUAGAUUUUGUUUACUUUUAUUUAAAUACCUAAAGAUACAGACUAUACAUUUGGCUAUAUAUUUAUGAAGUACCUACACAUAGUUUUGAGUAUAACUUGUUUAUGUCUUAUGUGACUUAUGUCGUUAUUAAGCCAUUCCAAAUUGGCCGUUUUUGUAUUGUACAUAUUUAUUUUAGUGCUUAGACAUAGAUUAAUGUGUCCCUAAUAUUGGGUUAUUUUCAUAUAGCAUUCAAAGGUAGUGUUCGGUUUGUACAGUCGGCACCAAAUGAAAAAAAACAAAGCUCUUAUUAUCUUGGUUAAAUAUGGGUCAAACAGAUCACUGUGUUAUGUCUUUCCUGUAGACAUACACAAGAGUUAAGGGCUAUAAAGGUUAAUUUUCUUAUUUAACCCUUUCAGUUCUCGCGAACACACUAGUUUUCUCUCCUGUGGGCAAUAGUUAACAGCUUGUGGGCAUGUAAGUAACGAUUUUAUCAUAGUUCUGUAAAUAAAAGGAGGACCUUUUCAAGUGGAUAAGGGUUAAAUAAGAAAAUUAACCUUUAUAGCCCUUAAAUCUUGUGUAUGUCUACAGGAAAGACAUAACACAGUGAUCUGUUUGACGCCUAUAUUUAAUAUGGUGUUAACUGCACAACCCCUAAACGUGACCGUUAUAAUAACUUAUUAAACUAUACCAAAAUAAAUUGACAUAUAUACCUACGCUAUUUGUCAAACUAACCCAUAAGUAUGAGUUUACUAAAUCGAUCUAGUAAUAUUUUGGGGGCCUAUUCUCAAUUUAGACUAAACGAUUUCAAACGGUCGAAUAACGAUCUAUCUUUUGUUAUUAUUGUAAAUAUUAUCGUUUCGUUAUGUAAUAAAUUUUAUAUUAUAUUUGUUU